ACGCUGGCGGCAUGCCUUACACAUGCAAGUCGAACGGCAGCACGGGGGCAACCCUGGUGGCGAGUGGCGAACGGGUGAGUAAUACAUCGGAACGUGUCCUGUAGUGGGGGAUAGCCCGGCGAAAGCCGGAUUAAUACCGCAUACGCUCUACGGAGGAAAGGGGGGGAUCUUAGGACCUCCCGCUACAGGGGCGGCCGAUGGCAGAUUAGCUAGUUGGUGGGGUAAAGGCCUACCAAGGCGACGAUCUGUAGCUGGUCUGAGAGGACGACCAGCCACACUGGGACUGAGACACGGCCCAGACUCCUACGGGAGGCAGCAGUGGGGAAUUUUGGACAAUGGGGGCAACCCUGAUCCAGCAAUGCCGCGUGUGUGAAGAAGGCCUUCGGGUUGUAAAGCACUUUUGUCCGGAAAGAAAACGCCGUGGUUAAUACCCGUGGCGGAUGACGGUACCGGAAGAAUAAGCACCGGCUAACUACGUGCCAGCAGCCGCGGUAAUACGUAGGGUGCAAGCGUUAAUCGGAAUUACUGGGCGUAAAGCGUGCGCAGGCGGUCCGCUAAGACAGAUGUGAAAUCCCCGGGCUUAACCUGGGAACUGCAUU
rnacentral:rRNA from 1 species